rnacentral:rRNA from 1 species
UACGAAGGGUGCAAACGUUGCUCGGAAUUAUUGGGCGUAAAGCGCACGUAGGCGGCUUUGCAAGUCCCAUGUGAAAUCCCACGGCUCAACCGUGGAAGUGCAUGGGAAACUGCAGAGCUUGAGUACUUAAGAGGAUCGCGGAAUUCCCGGUGUAGAGGUGAAAUUCGUAGAUAUCGGGAGGAACACCAGUGGCGAAGGCGGCGAUCUGGGAAGAUACUGACGCUGAGGUGCGAAAGCGUGGGGAGCAAAGCGGG